rnacentral:rRNA from 1 species
GACGAACGCUGGCGGCGUGCUUAACACAUGCAAGUCGAACGGAAAGGCCCUGCUUUUUUGGGGUGCUCGAGUGGCGAACGGGUGAGUAACACGUGAGUAACCUGCCCUUGACUUUGGGAUAACUUCAGGAAACUGGGGCUAAUACCGGAUAGGAGCUCCUGCUGCAUGGUGGGGGUUGGAAAGUUUAGGCGGUUGGGGAUGGACUCGCGGCUUAUCAGCUUGGUGGUGGGGUAGUGGAUUACCAAGGCUUGGACGGGUAGCCGGCCUGAGAGGGUGACCGGCCAAGCUGGGAUUGGAAUGAGGCACAGACUAGACUGGUACGGAGGAGUGGGGAAUGGUGCACUAGGGAAGGAAGGCUGAUGUAGCACCGCCGCGUGGGGGAUGACGGGAAUCGGGUUGGAAAGCGAAGUCGUUUGUGACGGAGCGAGAGUGACGGUAAUGGGAAAAGAAGCACCGGCUAACUACGUG